UGAUCAUGGCUCAGGAUGAACGCUGGCGNNAGGUUUGACACAUGCAAGUCGAACGGGAAGCAGGUGCUUGCACCUGUGGAGAGUGGCGAACGGCUGAGUAACACGUAGGAACCUACCCCUCGGACUGGGAUAACAGUUGGAAACGACUGCUAAUACCGGAUAUAUUCUUCGGAAGGAAAUGGUCCGCCGCCGAGGGAGGGGCCUGCGGCGUAUUAGGUUGUAAGUGAGGUAACGGCUCACCUAGCCUGCGAUGCGUAGCUGGUCUGAGAGGGCGAUCAGCCAGACUGGGACUGAGACACGGNCCAGACUCCUACGGGAGGCAGCAGUUCAGAAUCUUGCACAAUGGGCGAAAGCCUGAUGCAGCCAUGCCGCGUGAGUGAAGAAGGCCUUCGGGUCGUAAAGCUCUGUCAGAGGGGAAGAUAAUGACGGUACCCUCAAAGGAAGCAACGGCUAAUUACGUGCCAGCAGCCGCGGUAAUACGUAAGUUGCGAGCGUUAUACCGGAAUCACUG
rnacentral:rRNA from 1 species